UGCCCUAGUAACGGCGAGUGAAGCGGCAACAGCUCAAAUUUGAAAUCUGGCCUCCUUUGGGGGUCCGAGUUGUAAUUUGCAGAGGGUGCUUUGGCGUCGGCAGCGGUCUAAGUUCCUUGGAACAGGACAUCACAGAGGGUGAGAAUCCCGUACGUGGUCGCCUGCCUUCGCCGUGUAAAGCCCCUUCGACGAGUCGAGUUGUUUGGGAAUGCAGCUCUAAAUGGGAGGUAAAUUUCUUCUAAAGCUAAAUACCGGCCAGAGACCGAUAGCGCACAAGUAGAGUGAUCGAAAGAUGAAAAGCACUUUGGAAAGAGAGUCAAACAGCACGUGAAAUUGUUGAAAGGGAAGCGCUUGCAGCCAGACUUGCUCGUAGUUGCUCACCUGGGUCCGCCCGGGGCACUCUUCUGCGAGCAGGCCAGCAUCAGUUUGGGCGACCGGAUAAAGGCCUCUGUCAUGUAUCUUCCUUCGGGAUGACCUUAUAGGGGAGGCGUAAUGCGGCCAGCCCGGACUGAGGUCCGCGCUUCUGCUAGGAUGCUGGCGUAAUGGCUGUAAGCGGCCCGUCUUGAAACACGGACCAAGGAGUCUAACAUCUAUGCGAGUGUUUGGGUGUCAAGCCCGGGCGCGUAAUGAAAGUGAACGGAGGUGGGAACCCUCUCCGGGGGGUGCACCAUCGACCGAUCCUGAUGUCUUCGGAUGGAUUUGAGUAAGAGCAUAGCUGUUGGGACCCGAAAGAUGGUGAACUAUGCUUGAAUAGGGUGAAGCCAGAGGAAACUCUGGUGGAGGCUCGCAGCGGUUCUGACGUGCAAAUCGAUCGUCAAAUUUGGGCAUAGGGCGAAAGACUAAUCGA
rnacentral:rRNA from 1 species